AAACGUUUUCCUCCAAAAUAAAAUGAAUUCAAUAUUAUUCUUUCAAAACUAAUGAAGAACCAGAGACAUUAUCCUCCAAAAUCAAAUGAAUUCAAUGUUAUUCGUUCCAAAAUUUUAGGAAACAGAAAAUAUUUUUGUCCUUGAAUUUCUAAGGAGCGAAGCCAAAUUUCGUUCAAUCAACGAAGGUUUUCCAACAAAAUAUUCUACAGAAUUUUCCCUACUCCAGGUAUGUCAAGGUCCUCCCUUCUUUCUUUUGGCAUGGUCCAAAUUAUACUGAAGAAACGAGCAAAUACACAGUUUUUACAAAUUACUCUAUUCGAAGAAAUAGUAGGGGUCUCUAUAUUCUUGAUUCCCUAUGAGAAUUAUUAUUAUCUUCUAUUCAUGGGUGUCAGAAUAAUACACAGUUGGAAAAGUUUAUCCGGAAGGAAUAUUGAGAUUAUUACGUAUUUUUCAUGCAUUUCACUUAUUAUACAUGUGCAUUGACCCAUGACCAGAUGGCAUUAUGUAUGUGUAUAUAUAUGUAAAUAUAUGUAUAUGAGAUAUGGGAAAAGGUUAUGGUGUUAUAUACGCACCACCACCUGAUCAGCUAGUAUAUGUUGAUGAUGUUGCCCAUAGUGACCGACACGAUAUGAUGGGAUGCCCUCAGUGGCUUGAUGAUAUUAUGUACACCCAUACCUAUGUAUGGCACGAUAUUUAUACGCACGUGCAUGACAUUAUAAACGUUUCAGAAUUUUUAAAGUUAUUCAGAUUUAAAGAUGUGUUUCUAUAUUCCAUAUUUCAUCUAUGUUUUUUACGUACUAAUUUUCAUGUUUUACAUACUCAGUACAUUUUUUCGUACUGACGCCCUAUUUCACGGGGCCUGUGUUUCAUGCCCGCAGGUGCAGAUAGG
rnacentral:lncRNA from 1 species